AUUUGCACUCGCAAUCUGAUAAAGUAAAUUCUAUUUGAUAUGAUAUACGUUUCUUUGAUGAUUAUGUGAAUAUCUGUUAUGCCUUGAUAUGGGACUUGUCAGUAACUCCAUGCUAACGGAGAGUAGUUAGCCUGUGUGCACAUAGUAUUCUGUAUACCUAGCUGGUGAGAGAGGCAUCAGCCUGUGGUGACUGAUCCUUCCACAGUGGUCACCGACGGGUGUCAUCUGGUCACCUACGGGUGUCAUCUGGUCACCUUCGGGUGUCAUCUGGUCUCUGACAUGUAAUCCACUACGUUAU
rnacentral:lncRNA from 1 species